rnacentral:rRNA from 1 species
AGUGAACGCUGGCGGUAGGCCUAACACAUGCAAGUCGAACGGCAGCACAGUAAGAGCUUGCUCUUACGGGUGGCGAGUGGCGGACGGGUGAGGAAUACAUCGGAAUCUACUUUUUCGUGGGGGAUAACGUAGGGAAACUUACGCUAAUACCGCAUACGACCUACGGGUGAAAGCAGUGGAUCUUCGGACCUUGCGCGAUUGAAUGAGCCGAUGUCGGAUUAGCUAGUUGGCGGGGUAAAGGCCCACCAAGGCGACGAUCCGUAGCUGAUCUGAGAGGAUGAUCAGCCACACUGGAACUGAGACACGGUCCAGACUCCUACGGGAGGCAGCAGGGGGGAAUAUUGGACAAUGGGCGCAAGCCUGAUCCAGCCAUACCGCGUGGGUGAAGAAGGCCUUCGGGUUGUAAAGCCCUUUUGUUGGGAAAGAAAAGCAGCAGGUUAAUACCCCGCUGUUCUGACGGUACCCAAAGAAUAAGCACCGGCUAACUUCGUG